UGUUGUUGUUGUUAGACCCAACAGCACCAGGAAGAGGUUAGUACUGUUGUUGUUGUUAGACCCAACAGCACCAGGAAGAGGUUAGUACUGUUGUUGUUAGACCCAACAGCACCAGGAAGAGGUUAGUAAUGUUGUUAGACCCAACAGCACCAGGAAGAGGUUAGUACUGUAGUUGUUGUUAGACCCAACAGCACCAGGAAGAGGUUAGUACUGUAGUUGUUGUUAGACCCAACAGCACCAGGAAGAGGUUAGUAUUGUUGUUGUUGUUAGACCCAACAGCACCAGGAAGAGGUUAGUACUGUUGUUGUUGUUAGACCCAACAGCACCAGGAAGAGGUUAGUACUGUUGUUGUUGUUAGACCCAACAGCACCAGGAAGAGGUUAGUAUUGUUGUUGUUGUUAGACCCAACAGCACCAGGAAGAGGUUAGUACUGUUGUUAGACCCAACAGCACCAGGAAGAGGUUAGUACUGUUGUUGUUGUUAGACCCAACAGCACCAGGAAGAGGUUAGUACUGUAGUUGUUAGACCCAACAGCACCAGGAAGAGGUUAGUACUGUAGUUGUUAGACCCAACAGCACCAGGAAGAGGUUAGUAUUGUUGUUGUUGUUAGACCCAACAGCACCAGGAAGAGGUUAGUACUGUUGUUGUUGUUAGACCCAACAGCACCAGGAAGAGGUUAGUACUGUUGUUGUUAGACCCAACAGCACCAGGAAGAGGUUAGUACUGUUGUUGUUGUUAGACCCAACAGCACCAGGAAGAGGUUAGUACUGUUGUUGUUGUUAGACCCAACAGCACCAGGAAGAGGUUAGUAUUGUUGUUGUUGUUAGACCCAACAGCACCAGGAAGAGGUUAGUACUGUUGUUGUUAGACCCAACAGCACCAGGAAGAGGUUAGUACUGUUAGACCCAACAGCACCAGGAAGAGGUUAGUACUGUUGUUGUUGUUAGACCCAACAGCACCAGGAAGAGGUUAGUACUGUUGUUAGACCCAACAGCACCAGGAAGAGGUUAGUACUGUUGUUGUUGUUAGACCCAACAGCACCAGGAAGAGGUUAGUACUGUUGUUGUUGUUAGACCCAACAGCACCAGGAAGAGGUUAGUACUGUUGUUAGACCCAACAGCACCAGGAAGAGGUUAGUACUGUUGUUGUUGUUAGACCCAACAGCACCAGGAAGAGGUUAGUACUGUUGUUGUUGUUAGACCCAACAGCACCAGGAAGAGGUUAGUACUGUUGUUAGACCCAACAGCACCAGGAAGAGGUUAGUACUGUUGUUAGACCCAACAGCACCAGGAAGAGGUUAGUACUGUUGUUGUUGUUAGACCCAACAGCACCAGGAAGAGGUUAGUACUGUUGUUGUUGUUAGACCCAACAGCACCAGGAAGAGGUUAGUACUGUUGAUGUUAGACCCAACAGCACCAGGAAGAGGUUAGUACUGUUGUUGUUAGACCCAACAGCACCAGGAAGAGGUUAGUACUGUUGUUGUUGUUAGACCCAACAGCACCAGGAAGAGGUUAGUACUGUUGUUGUUAGACCCAACAGCACCAGGAAGAGGUUAGUACUGUUGUUGUUGUUAGACCCAACAGCACCAGGAAGAGGUUAGUACUGUUGUUGUUGUUAGACCCAACAGCACCAGGAAGAGGUUAGUAUUGUUGUUGUUGUUAGACCCAACAGCACCAGGAAGAGGUUAGUACUGUUGUUGUUGUUAGACCCAACAGCACCAGGAAGAGGUUAGUACUGUUGUUGUUAGACCCAACAGCACCAGGAAGAGGUUAGUACUGUUAGACCCAACAGCACCAGGAAGAGGUUAGUACUGUUGUUGUUGUUAGACCCAACAGCACCAGGAAGAGGUUAGUACUGUUGUUGUUGUUAGACCCAACAGCACCAGGAAGAGGUUAGUACUGUUGUUGUUGUUAGACCCAACAGCACCAGGAAGAGGUUAGUACUGUUGUUAGACCCAACAGCACCAGGAAGAGGUUAGUACUGUUGUUGUUAGACCCAACAGCACCAGGAAGAGGUUAGUACUGUUGUUGUUGUUAGACCCAACAGCACCAGGAAGAGGUUAGUACUGUUGUUAGACCCAACAGCACCAGGAAGAGGUUAGUACUGUUGUUGUUGUUAGACCCAACAGCACCAGGAAGAGGUUAGUACUGUUGUUGUUGUUAGACCCAACAGCACCAGGAAGAGGUUAGUACUGUUGAUGUUAGACCCAACAGCACCAGGAAGAGGUUAGUACUGUUGUUGUUAGACCCAACAGCACCAGGAAGAGGUUAGUACUGUUGUUAGACCCAACAGCUCCAGUACCGCUGUGUACUGUGUUACUGUCCAACUGUGUUACUGUGUUACUGUCCUACUGUGUUACUGUCAUACUGUGUUACUGUCCUACUGUGUUACUGUUCCUACUGUGUUACUGUCCUACUGGGUGCACAAACAAAAGAGCUUACAUGAAGCAUUGAGUAAAUGUUAUUAAACUUGGACCUCAAAUGUAAUGCUUUUGCCGUCUGAGGUGCAAUAGGCUAAGGUGUGUGUGUGUGGGGGUGU